GAAAAUUUGAGCAACACAACCAUAGACAGGAUCUCGAACCCUAGCAAGAGCCUCGUAACAAAGAGUAACGCAAGCGUCGAGACGCUUGGGAGGCGGGAUGCGGUGGAGGAGCUUAGAGGCAUUGCUAGCUCCGAACACCUUAUGCACGGCGGCAAAGUGGGCGGCGCCUUGCUCGGAGUCGAAAUAGGGUGCAAAAAUGCACCCUUUCACACACUUUCUCCUCAAAAACUUGCACGCGCCGCAAGGCCCUCCGCCUUGGCCGCCGCCGCCGCCGCCACUCAUCAG
rnacentral:misc_RNA from 1 species